rnacentral:pre_miRNA from 1 species
AUAUUACUCCCUCCGUCCCGAUAAGUGUCGCAAUUUUGUCUAAAGAUACGUAUGUAUCUAGACACGUUUCAUUGUGUAGAUUCGCUCAUUGGGGAAAAAAAUUGCGACACUUAUUUUGGGACGGAGGAAGUACUAU